CCAAGCCAGGAACAGACGCACUACUUAAUGAAAUUUUAAUCGAGAAAGGAAACAAACAUCGAAGAAGCUGCUAAUCUGCCAAGUACCUCCACAUAAAAACAUUGCAAAACAUUUUGUUAAAGAAAAACGCUUAAAAUUAGUAA